rnacentral:rRNA from 1 species
CAAUCGAACCCGGAGAUAGCUGGUUCUCCUCGAAAUAGCUUUAGGGCUAGCCUCAUGGAUCAUUGGUGGGGGUAGAGCACUGAAUGUGCGCGGGGGCCACAAAGCCUACCAAACGCUAUCAAACUACGAAUACCAUACAAUGCAGACCAUGGGAGUCAGUCCGCGAGAGAUAAGUUCCGCGGGCAAAAGGGGAACACCCCAGAUCAACCGCUAAGGUCCCCAAGUUCACGUUAAGUGGAGAAGGAUGUGGAAUUGCACAGACAACCAGGAUGUUGGCUCAGAAGCAGCCACACAUUUAAAGAGUGCGUAAUAGCUCACUGGUCGAGUGAUUGUGCGCCGAAGAUGUCCGGGGCUAAACGUGACACCGAAGCGAUGGGUGCAUCUGAAAGGAUGCGCGGUAGAGGAGCAAUGUGCAGAGGCAGAAGCCGUAUCGAGAGGCACGGUGGACACUGCACAAGAGAGAAUGCCGGUAUGAGUAGCGAGAGGCAUGCGAGAAACAUGCCCGUCGAAAGCCCAAGGUUUCCUGGGGAAGGUUCAUCCGCCCAGGGUAAGUCGGGGCCUAAGCCGAGGACGGAAGUCGUAGGCGAUGGACAGCAGGUGUAGAUUCCUGCACUACCGAUGGAAUGAAGCAGUGACACAGAAGGAUAACUCGAGCAGGGUGAUGGUCAACCCUGUGCAAGCAUCAAGGUUGGGUUGUAGUGAAGUACGCAACCCUACAAGCUGAGAUGUGAUGCGGACCGAAAUUUCAGUAGGGAAGCGAGUGAGUUCACGCUGGCGAGAAAAGCUGCUAGUACAUCCAAAGGUACCCGUACCGGAAACCGACGCAGGUGGGCGAGGAGAGAAUCCUGAGACGAACGGGAGAACCCUUGUUAAGGAACUCGGCAAAAUGACCCCGUAACUUCGGGAUAAGGGGUGCCUGCGAGAGCAGGCCGCAGAGAAUAGUCACAAGCGACUGUUUAGCAAAAACACAGGUAUCUGCGAAAGCGAGAGCUGACGUAUAGGUGCUGACACCUGCCCGGUGCUGGAAGGUUAAGGGAACAUGUUAGAGCAAUCGAAGCAUCGAACCGAAGCCCCAGUAAACGGCGGCCGUAACUAUAACGGUCCUAAGGUAGCGAAAUUCCUUGUCGGGUAAGUUCCGACCCGCACGAAUGGUGUAACGACUUGUGAGCUGUCUCAACAGGGGGCCCGGUGAAAUUGAAGUAUGGGUGAAGAUGCCCAUUACCCGCGACUGGACGGAGAGACCCCGUAGAGCUUUACUGCAGCCUGAUAUUGAGUUUCGGUAACUGAUGCACAGGAUAGGUGGGAGUCUGAGAGACAUGGGUUUCGGCUCAUGUGGAGACGGUGUUGGGAUACCACUCUUCGGUUACUGAAAUUCUAACAUAGCUCUGUGAAACCAGAGGAUGGACAGUGUCAGGUGGACAGUUUGACUGGGGCGGUCGCCUCCGAAAGAGUAACGGAGGCGCCCAAAGGUACCCUCAGAAUGGAUGGAAACCAUUCGAAGAGCGCAAAGGCAGAAGGGUGCCUGACUGCGAGAGUGACAACUCGAGCAGAGACGAAAGUCGGGCUUAGUGAUCCGGCGGUAUUGAGUGGAAAAGCCGUCGCUUAACGGAUAAAAGCUACCUCGGGGAUAACAGGCUGAUCUCCCCCAAGAGUCCACAUCGACGGGGAGGUUUGGCACCUCGAUGUCGGCUCAUCGCAUCCUGGGGCUGUAUUCGGUCCCAAGGGUUUGGCUGUUCGCCAAUUAAAGCGGCACGCGAGCUGGGUUCAGAACGUCGUGAGACAGUUCGGUCCCUAUCCAUCGUGGGCGUAGGAGUCAUGAGAGGAGCUGUUCCUAGUACGAGAGGACCGGAAUGGACGCACCACUGGUGCAACUGUUGUCGUGCCAACGGCAUAGCAGGGAAGCGAAGUGCGGAAGGGAUAAACGCUGAAGGCAUCUAAGCGUGAAGCCCACCUCAAGAAUAAGACUCCACAAUAGACCCCUGGAGGACUACCAGGUAGAUAGGUCAUCGGUGGAAGCGCUGUAAGGCGUGUAGCUUGAUGAUACUAAUCGGUCGAAAGCUUCAUUUA